UACGUAGGGGGCAAGCGUUGUCCGGAAUCAUUGGGCGUAAAGCGCGUGUAGGCGGCCCGGUAAGUCCGCUGUGAAAGUCGGGGGCUCAACCCUCGAAAGCCGGUGGAUACUGUCGGGCUCGAGUACGGGAGAGGCGAGUGGAAUUCCUGGUGUAGCGGUGAAAUGCGCAGAUAUCAGGAGGAACACCGAUUGCGAAGGCAGCUCGCUGGAACGUUACUGACGCUGAGGCACGAAAGCGUGGGGAGCAAACAGG
rnacentral:rRNA from 1 species